AUACCACUUGUUGCCUCGGCGGAUCAGCCCGCUCCCGGUAAAACGGGACGGCCCGCCAGAGGACCCCUAAACUCUGUUUCUAUAUGUAACUUCUGAGUAAAACCAUAAAUAAAUCAAAACUUUCAACAACGGAUCUCUUGGUUCUGGCAUCGAUGAAGAACGCAGCAAAAUGCGAUAAGUAAUGUGAAUUGCAGAAUUCAGUGAAUCAUCGAAUCUUUGAACGCACAUUGCGCCCGCCAGUAUUCUGGCGGGCAUGCCUGUUCGAGCGUCAUUUCAACCCUCAAGCACAGCUUGGUGUUGGGACUCGCGUUAAUUCGCGUUCCCCAAAUUGAUUGGCGGUCACGUCGAGCUUCCAUAGCGUAGUAGUAAAACCCUCGUUACUGGUAAUCGUCGCGGCCACGCCGUUAAACCCCAACUUCUGAAUGUUGACCUCGGAUCAGGUAGGAAUACCCGCUGAACUUAAGCAUAUCAA
rnacentral:rRNA from 1 species